CGGGACACGUGGUAUCCUGUCUGAAUAUGGGGGGACCAUCCUCCAAGGCUAAAUACUCCUGACUGACCGAUAGUGAACCAGUACCGUGAGGGAAAGGCGAAAAGAACCCCGGCGAGGGGAGUGAAAAAGAACCUGAAACCGUGUACGUACAAGCAGUGGGAGCACGCUUAGGCGUGUGACUGCGUACCUUUUGUAUAAUGGGUCAGCGACUUAUAUUCUGUAGCAAGGUUAACCGAAUAGGGGAGCCGAAGGGAAACCGAGUCUUAACUGGGCGUUAAGUUGCAGGGUAUAGACCCGAAACCCGGUGAUCUAGCCAUGGGCAGGUUGAAGGUUGGGUAACACUAACUGGAGGACCGAACCGACUAAUGUUGAAAAAUUAGCGGAUGACUUGUGGCUGGGGGUGAAAGGCCAAUCAAACCGGGAGAUAGCUGGUUCUCCCCGAAAGCUAUUUAGGUAGCGCCUCGUGAAUUCAUCUCCGGGGGUAGAGCACUGUUUCGGCAAGGGGGUCAUCCCGACUUACCAACCCGAUGCAAACUGCGAAUACCGGAGAAUGUUAUCACGGGAGACACACGGCGGGUGCUAACGUCCGUCGUGAAGAGGGAAACAACCCAGACCGCCAGCUAAGGUCCCAAAGUCAUGGUUAAGUGGGAAACGAUGUGGGAAGGCCCAGACAGCCAGGAUGUUGGCUUAGAAGCAGCCAUCAUUUAAAGAAAGCGUAAUAGCUCACUGGUCGAGUCGGCCUGCGCGGAAGAUGUAACGGGGCUAAACCAUGCACCGAAGCUGCGGCAGCGACGCUGAUGCGUUGUUGGGUAGGGGAGCGUUCUGUAAGCCUGUGAAGGUGUGCUGUGAGGCAUGCUGGAGGUAUCAGAAGUGCGAAUGCUGACAUAAGUAACGAUAAAGCGGGUGAAAAGCCCGCUCGCCGGAAGACCAAGGGUUCCUGUCCAACGUUAAUCGGGGCAGGGUGAGUCGACCCCUAAGGCGAGGCCGAAAGGCGUAGUCGAUGGGAAACAGGUUAAUAUUCCUGUACUUGGUGUUACUGCGAAGGGGGGACGGAGAAGGCUAUGUUGGCCGGGCGACGGUUGUCCCGGUUUAAGCGUGUAGGCUGGUUUUCCAGGCAAAUCCGGAAAAUCAAGGCUGAGGCGUGAUGACGAGGCACUACGGUGCUGAAGCAACAAAUGCCCUGCUUCCAGGAAAAGCCUCUAAGCAUCAGGUAACAUCAAAUCGUACCCCAAACCGACACAGGUGGUCAGGUAGAGAAUACCAAGGCGCUUGAGAGAACUCGGGUGAAGGAACUAGGCAAAAUGGUGCCGUAACUUCGGGAGAAGGCACGCUGAUAUGUAGGUGAAGCGACUUGCUCGUGGAGCUGAAAUCAGUCGAAGAUACCAGCUGGCUGCAACUGUUUAUUAAAAACACAGCACUGUGCAAACACGAAAGUGGACGUAUACGGUGUGACGCCUGCCCGGUGCCGGAAGGUUAAUUGAUGGGGUCAGCGCAAGCGAAGCUCUUGAUCGAAGCCCCGGUAAACGGCGGCCGUAACUAUAACGGUCCUAAGGUAGCGAAAUUCCUUGUCGGGUAAGUUCCGACCUGCACGAAUGGCGUAAUGAUGGCCAGGCUGUCUCCACCCGAGACUCAGUGAAAUUGAACUCGCUGUGAAGAUGCAGUGUACCCGCGGCAAGACGGAAAGACCCCGUGAACCUUUACUAUAGCUUGACACUGAACAUUGAGCCUUGAUGUGUAGGAUAGGUGGGAGGCUUUGAAGUGUGGACGCCAGUCUGCAUGGAGCCGGCCUUGAAAUACCACCCUUUAAUGUUUGAUGUUCUAACGUUGACCCGUGAUCCGGGUUGCGGACAGUGUCUGGUGGGUAGUUUGACUGGGGCGGUCUCCUCCUAAAGAGUAACGGAGGAGCACGAAGGUUGGCUAAUCCUGGUCGGACAUCAGGAGGUUAGUGCAAUGGCAUAAGCCAGCUUGACUGCGAGCGUGACGGCGCGAGCAGGUGCGAAAGCAGGUCAUAGUGAUCCGGUGGUUCUGAAUGGAAGGGCCAUCGCUCAACGGAUAAAAGGUACUCCGGGGAUAACAGGCUGAUACCGCCCAAGAGUUCAUAUCGACGGCGGUGUUUGGCACCUCGAUGUCGGCUCAUCACAUCCUGGGGCUGAAGUAGGUCCCAAGGGUAUGGCUGUUCGCCAUUUAAAGUGGUACGCGAGCUGGGUUUAGAACGUCGUGAGACAGUUCGGUCCCUAUCUGCCGUGGGCGCUGGAGAACUGAGGGGGGCUGCUCCUAGUACGAGAGGACCGGAGUGGACGCAUCACUGGUGUUCGGGUUGUCAUGCCAAUGGCACUGCCCGGUAGCUAAAUGCGGAAGAGAUAAGUGCUGAAAGCAUCUAAGCACGAAACUUGCCCCGAGAUGAGUUCUCCCUGACUCCUUGAGAGUCCUGAAGGAACGUUGAAGACGACGACGUUGAUAGGCCGGGUGUGUAAGCGCAGCGAUGCGUUGAGCUAACCGGUACUAAUGAACCGUGAGGCUUAACCUUACAACGCCGAAGCUGUU
rnacentral:rRNA from 1 species